rnacentral:rRNA from 1 species
AUUGAACGCUGGCGGCAGGCCUAACACAUGCAAGUCGAGCGGAUGAAGGGAGCUUGCUCCUGGAUUCAGCGGCGGACGGGUGAGUAAUGCCUAGGAAUCUGCCUGGUAGUGGGGGAUAACGUCCGGAAACGGGCGCUAAUACCGCAUACGUCCUGAGGGAGAAAGUGGGGGAUCUUCGGACCUCACGCUAUCAGAUGAGCCUAGGUCGGAUUAGCUAGUUGGGGGGGUAAAGGCCUACCAAGGCGACGAUCCGUAACUGGUCUGAGAGGAUGAUCAGUCACACUGGAACUGAGACACGGUCCAGACUCCUACGGGAGGCAGCAGUGGGGAAUAUUGGACAAUGGGCGAAAGCCUGAUCCAGCCAUGCCGCGUGUGUGAAGAAGGUCUUCGGAUUGUAAAGCACUUUAAGUUGGGAGGAAGGGCAGUAAGUCAAUACCUUGCUGUUUUGACGUUACCAACAGAAUAAGCACCGGCUAACUUCGUG